rnacentral:rRNA from 3 species
GUUAGCGGCCAUAGAAGUAAGGGAAACACCUGUUCCCAUUUCGAACACAGAAGUUAAGCCUUAUUUCGUUGUCACAAAGUACUCCGGAAUACGGGGGAAAGUGAUAAGUCGCUAACU